AUGUCUUUUGUGUGUGUGUCAGGUAUAUAUUUAACUGCUCUGAGAGUCUGCUUCCUCCGGUGUGUGUGUGUGUGUGUGUGUGUGUGUAUGUGUGUGUGUGUGUGUGUGUGUGUGUGUGUGUGUGUGUGUGUGUGUGUGUGUGUGUGUGUGUGUGUGUGUGUGUUCUAUCCUCCAUCACCCUCAGUGAGUUAUUUCACGGCUCAGGCUAAGACCCAGAUGCAGACACGGGAGGUGGAUAGUACGAGUCUCAGAGUUUAUUUCAGUACAAGGGGCAAGCAAUCGGUAGGUCAAGGCAGCCAAAGAGUCGUAAUCAAAUCAGAGUCAGACAGGUACAGGACAGGCAGGCAGGAUCAGGCUCAGGACAGGCAGAAAGGUUAGAACUGGGAAGACUUAGAAACGCAAAAACUAGAGCACAGGAAACACGGGGACACGCUGGUAGGACUUGACAGGACAAGACGAACUGGCAACAGACAAACAGAAAACGCAGGUAUAAAUACACAGGGGAUAAUGGGAGACACCUGGUGGGGGGUGGAGACAAUCACAAGACAGGUGAAACAGAUCAGGGUGUGACAGUUACAGCAGCUGUCUGAAUACACCUGCUACAUCAUGGCUUUGGAAACAGGAAUAUGAAACGGAUGAAAGCACUAGGAUGGGGUCAAUUAGUAUGAUUAUUGCAUUCAAAAACCGUACAAUAGCACUUGCUCAUUUAUAGAGGGGUCUGGCUUAAAUCUAUCCAACAGCGAUUAUGUUUUAUUCCUCACGGUAUUGUUUCUAAUGCCACUCCCAUUUUUCGAAUGGCCAAUGUUUCAGAGCGCAAUAUUUUCAUUCAUUAAUACAUUGUAAUUCCGUAUUAUUUUAGCUGAUUGAUUAUUAUCUUAUGUAGCCAUUUGUUGGCUCACAAAAUCAUAUUAGCCAACAGGACGGUGCAUAAUGAACUUGAGGUUACGACGUGAGACCUCCAAUCAGAGCCAAUGAGUUAAUCUAUUUGACAGAAAGGUCGGAGGUCAGGGAUUACCUACUGAUAAGAGACAUUCCCAAUGAAUAACAAUGGCCAGAUUAACUUUAUGUGCGUGUGUGUCUAGCAGUCCAUCUGAUAGCUAGACAUUGAUGGAGAAUUGAGAUGUGUCUGUUUUACAUCCUAUAAUGAGAAGAGAUGCCUUUUGUUUCCAUCCCAGUGAUUCUAUGGUUGACAGAAAGACAUUGUUUCUUCAAGGUAUUUUCUAUGAUAAUCUGGUAGCAUGUGUGUUUGCAUACAGAACAAACACUCCAAUUGGGUCAGGGAAUAAGUCUGGGAAUAUUUUUGUAUAUCUGAUUCAAAUCAUGAUAUUCAAAUCAUUUAUAUACAAACAGUGUACCCGAAAGAGAAAUCUAAGGGAGCUUCUCUGUGCUAUUGUCUGUUGGUUGGGCUGUUGCUCUGUCCUCCUGUCCUCAGGUCUCCUGAGGGUCACCUGAUUGGAAGUGUUCCAGGUGGAUCUACCUUCCUGGUCAAACUGGCUCUCUAGGGGAGGAGUCCAAGGUAAACAAUCGCACAGCUACCUAGUGUGUGUGCGUGUGUGUAUGUGUGUGUGUGUGUGUGUGUGUGUGUGUGUGCGUGUGUGUGUGUGCGUGUGUGUGCGUGUGUGCGUGCGUGUGUGUGCGUGCGUGUGACUGUCAGGGGAGUAAGGGCAGCACCUGCUCAGUUGCCCGGGUAACAGCAGGUGCGGCAUAGGUGUGUGUGGGUCUGGAGGUUGAGCGAUACAAAUCUCCGGGGUUUCUGUGGUUGUGGAGGUGUGAGACGUGAGAGAACUACGAAUGGCCUCACAGCCUCAGCUCAGAACCUGCAGGCCUCUCAGUCAGGGCAGAGUAACAUCCUACAUAUUAAUGCAAGUAGAAUUCAGGUUGCUGGUUGUAUCCAGACAUCCACAUUGUUUUAAAGAGCCACUGAACACAGCGAUUGUGUUUUUCUCUUGCUCAUUGGAAAAAUGAGAUUUCAGUCUUGGAGGUGUGUUUCCUGACCUAUUCUGCAUUUGGGUAAUGAUGUUUGUCCCCCAUGAGACACUGUAGACGCACGCGGAACCCUAUUUCACUUCCUCAAAAUCUCCAGAAUGAAUCUAAGAUAACUCAAGAAAUCUGUAAAUAAUUUUGAGUUUUUUGUCACAUGUUUUAGUUGUGCAAUUUUACAUCUAACUAAGUUGUUUGGUUUAGUAUUUCUCAAGUAACAAAAAAAUGUGCGAUGUGUUGUCUUGUGUAAACAAAGUCGGAGCUGCUUGGCAGGUCUGUCUCACUGUCUAUUCUAUUGGAUAGAGAGCAAUCACUGCAGCUGUUCACCCCAUGUUAGUGGGCAAAUCAAAGCCUUCAUUUACCCGUUGCGACGCAUGGCAUUUUCCAAACUCUGUUUUAGACAAGACUAACUUUAUGACCAAAAUCAUCCUAUUUACACGAUGUAGCCAGUGAGAAAGAAUAACACAGGAGUAACCUAAACUGUGGUUUUAGCUUUAGAGCACAUAGCAUAGAACCAUGUUGUACUAGUCUGUGUGUUUGUUUGUCCUGUUGACGUCCCUGAGGGUCUCCUAUCUCUGGUUUGGGUAGGGGUCAGGGGUCAGGGUUGAGGUUAGCACCCCUGUUUGACCUCUGGGUCACAUAAGGGCUGUGACAGGAGAUAGUGUGUGUGUUUAUGUGCUGGAAAGUGCAUGGCUAUAACCUGGUCUCUAGUAGAUAAUUGUGUUUGUAUCACACAAUGAAGAUUACCAUGAAGCCCUCUGGCCACAGUCCAAAUAUGAGUCUUUAUACUUAACCUGUGAUUGUUGAAGGAGAUAAUUGAAGAUAGCAGGGUCGGGGAAGAUAGGCAGCUAUUUUCAUUUUUUUCCAGACAUUUCCUUUCUCUUUCAUUUUAAAAGUGAACAUUAGCAUUUCUCCUGUCAAUGAAAAGAGAGUCUGUAAAAGAUUUGGUCCUGCUGCAUUGUCAGUAUGAUGAACUGACAUUCAUUUCCACUUCUCUGUUUGCUGUAGCCACUCUCGAAAAGUGUGUGUGCGUGCGUGUGUAAGUGUGUGUAAGUGUGUGUAUCUUUUUUGUGAUGUGAAGGCAGGGAUUACCCUGUAAGAAAACACACACAGGAAGUUCAUAGGAAG
rnacentral:lncRNA from 1 species